GAUGAACGCUGGCGGCGUGCCUAAUACAUGCAAGUCGAGCGAACGGACGAGAAGCUUGCUUCUCUGAUGUUAGCGGCGGACGGGUGAGUAACACGUGGAUAACCUACCUAUAAGACUGGGAUAACUUCGGGAAACCGGAGCUAAUACCGGAUAAUAUUUUGAACCGCAUGGUUCAAAAGUGAAAGACGGUCUUGCUGUCACUUAUAGAUGGAUCCGCGCUGCAUUAGCUAGUUGGUAAGGUAACGGCUUACCAAGGCAACGAUGCAUAGCCGACCUGAGAGGGUGAUCGGCCACACUGGAACUGAGACACGGUCCAGACUCCUACGGGAGGCAGCAGUAGGGAAUCUUCCGCAAUGGGCGAAAGCCUGACGGAGCAACGCCGCGUGAGUGAUGAAGGUCUUCGGAUCGUAAAACUCUGUUAUUAGGGAAGAACAUAUGUGUAAGUAACUGUGCACAUCUUGACGGUACCUAAUCAGAAAGCCACGGCUAACUACGUGCCAGCAGCCGCGGUAAUACGUAGGUGGCAAGCGUUAUCCGGAAUUAUUGGGCGUAAAGCGCGCGUAGGCGGUUUUUUAAGUCUGAUGUGAAAGCCCACGGCUCAACCGUGGAGGGUCAUUGGAAACUGGAAAACUUGAGUGCAGAAGAGGAAAGUGGAAUUCCAUGUGUAGCGGUGAAAUGCGCAGAGAUAUGGAGGAACACCAGUGGCGAAGGCGACUUUCUGGUCUGUAACUGACGCUGAUGUGCGAAAGCGUGGGGAUCAAACAGGAUUAGAUACCCUGGUAGUCCACGCCGUAAACGAUGAGUGCUAAGUGUUAGGGGGUUUCCGCCCCUUAGUGCUGCAGCUAACGCAUUAAGCACUCCGCCUGGGGAGUACGACCGCGAGGUUGAAACUCAAAGGAAUUGACGGGGACCCGCACAAGCGGUGGAGCAUGUGGUUUAAUUCGAAGCAACGCGAAGAACCUUACCAAAUCUUGACAUCCUUUGACAACUCUAGAGAUAGAGCCUUCCCCUUCGGGGGACAAAGUGACAGGUGGUGCAUGGUUGUCGUCAGCUCGUGUCGUGAGAUGUUGGGUUAAGUCCCGCAACGAGCGCAACCCUUAAGCUUAGUUGCCAUCAUUAAGUUGGGCACUCUAAGUUGACUGCCGGUGACAAACCGGAGGAAGGUGGGGAUGACGUCAAAUCAUCAUGCCCCUUAUGAUUUGGGCUACACACGUGCUACAAUGGACAAUACAAAGGGCAGCGAAACCGCGAGGUCAAGCAAAUCCCAUAAAGUUGUUCUCAGUUCGGAUUGUAGUCUGCAACUCGACUACAUGAAGCUGGAAUCGCUAGUAAUCGUAGAUCAGCAUGCUACGGUGAAUACGUUCCCGGGUCU
rnacentral:rRNA from 1 species